rnacentral:rRNA from 1 species
UGUGAACUCGAAGAGUAGGGCGGGACACGUGGUAUCCUGUCUGAAUAUGGGGGGACCAUCCUCCAAGGCUAAAUACUCCUGACUGACCGAUAGUGAACCAGUACCGUGAGGGAAAGGCGAAAAGAACCCCGGCGAGGGGAGUGAAAAAGAACCUGAAACCGUGUACGUACAAGCAGUGGGAGCACCUUCGGGUGUGACUGCGUACCUUUUGUAUAAUGGGUCAGCGACUUAUAUUCUGUAGCAAGGUUAACCGUAUAGGGGAGCCGCAGGGAAACCGAGUCUUAAC